GAUGAAGAACGUAGCGAAAUGCGAUAAGUAAUGCGAAUUGCAGAAUUCAGUGAAUCAUCGAGUCUUUGAACGCACAUUGCGCCCCCUGGUAUUCCGGGGGGCAUGCCUGUCCGAGCGUCAUUGCUGCCCUCAAGCACGGCUUGUGUGUUGGGCCUCCGCCCCCCGGCUCCCGGGGGGCGGGCCCGAAAGGCAGCGGCGGCACCGCGUCCGGUCCUCGAGCGUAUGGGGCUUCGUCACCCGCUCCGUAGGCCCGGCCGGCGCCCGCCGGCGACCCCCCUCAAUCUUUCCAGGUUGACCUCGGAUCAGGUAGGGAUACCCGCUGAACUUAAGCAUAUCAAUAAGCGGAGGA
rnacentral:misc_RNA from 1 species